AUGGGUACCGUCCUGUCUAGCAGGAGCAUGUGUGCCCAGUAUAAAGAAGGCUACCCCAGGGCUGCCGGUCCAACCCCAGAGUGUCCAGAUCCCCAUCCCAGGAUAGCCCAGCCCAAGCCAGGCCAUAGUGCUGGUCACUUCCAGGAGGAGCAGGGGACAAUGAAGCAGCGCCCUGAACGACCUCAAAGGACCCCUGAUCAGGUCAGGCCAAGCAUCACGGACAGCGCCGGGACCUCAUCCUCGCUGUGCUUAAAGGCCAAAGCCUCCAAGCGUGACCUUGGCCAAGCUUUUGCCCCUGGGCCUCCCUUGGUGGCUGCCCACUUCCUGAGCCUGUUUUCCCACCUCCUGUCAAUUCUGAGCUCCCCAGUCACCAGCGUGGGGUUUCUAUUGCUUGAGCCGAACAUGCACGUUUGCCUUCGUGUGACGCCAGCUGUUUCAGCGGCCAGCCCCUUCUUCCCUGGUCGCGGGGACUCAGAAAGCGCGGCUGUUCCGCGCCCGUCUCGCACCUCGCCUUCGCCUGCCGCCACGUACCGCUACCUGGGCGAAGCGCUGCUGCUGGCCCGGCCCGGCCCGCCGCCCUGGGCUCGGCGGCCGAGGACUCCGCAGCGCUGCGGGGCGGAGCCGGGGACAGCCCGCCGCCGCCCCGCAGCCGGGCUUGCAUUGGCCGCCACGCGCUACUACAGCGAGGCAGUGGCCGACCGUGAGGACGACCCCAACUUCUUCAAGACGGUGGAGGGCUUCUUCCACCGUGACGCCAGCAUUGUGGCGGACAAGCUGGCGGAGGGCCUGAGGACCCGGGAGAGCGGGGAGCGGACCCGGGCGCGCCGCAUCCUGCGGAUCACCAAGCCCUGCAACCACGUGCUGAGCCUCUCCUUCCCUAUCCGGAGCGACGACGGCUCCUGGGAGGUCAUGGAAGGCUGGGAGGUCACCAGGCCCAGCACAGCCAGCACCGCACGCCCUGCAAGGGAGGUGUCCGUCACAGCACUGCUUGAGUGUAGAUGAAGUACAAGCUUUGGCUUCUCUGAUGACAUACAAAUGUGCAGUGGUUGAUGGGCCGUUUGGGGGCGCUAAAGCUGGUGCUAAGAUCAAUCCCAAGAACUAUACCGAUAAUGAAUUGGACAAGACCACAAGGAGGUUCACCACGGAGCUGGCAAAGAAGGGCUUUAUUGGUCCUGGCAUUGAUGUCCCUGCCUCAGACAUGAGCACAGGUGAGCGGGAGAUGUCCUGGAUCGCUGAUAUCUAUGCCAGCACCAUAGGCCACAAGAUAUUAGUGCACAUGGGUGUGUUACUGGUAAACCCAUCAGUCAAGGGGGCAUCCCCAGACGCAUUUCUGCUACUGGCUGUGGUGUCUCCCAUGGGGUUGAAAACUUCAUCAGUGAAGCUUCUUACAUGAGCAUUUUAGGAAUGACACCAGGAUUUGGAGAUAAAACAUUUGUUGUUCAGGGAUUUGGUAAUGUGGGCCUAAACUCUGAGAUAUUUACAUCGUUUUGGUGCUAAAUGUAUUGUUGUUGGUGAGUCUGAUGCGAGUAUAUGGAAUCCAGAUGGCUUUGACCCAAAGGAACUGGAAGACUUCAAAUUGCAACAUGGGUCCAUUCUGGGCUUCCCCAGGGCAAAGCCCUAGGGAGGAAGCAUCUUGGAGGCUGACUGUGACAUACUGAUCCCAGCUGCCAGUGAGAAGCAGUUGACCAAAUCCAACGCACCCAGAGUCAAAGCCAAGAUUGUUGAUGUAAGUGCCAAUGGGCCAGCAACUCCAGAAGCUGAUAAGAUCUUCCUGGAGAGAAACAUUAUGGUUAUUCCAGAUCUCUACUUGAAUGCUGGAGGAGUGACAGUAUCAUACUUUGAGUGGCUGAAGAAUCUAAAUCAUGUCAGCUAUGGCCAUUUGACCUUCAAAUAUGAAAGGAAUUCUAACUACCACUUGUUCAAGUCUGUUCAAGAGAGUUUAGAAAGAAAACUUGGAAAGCAUGGUGGAACUAUUCUCAUUGUACCUACGGCAGAGUUCCAAGAUAGGAUAUCGGGUGCAUCUGAGAAAGGCAUCGUGCACUCUGGCUUGGCGUACACAAUGGAGCAUUCUGCCAGGCAAAGUAUGCACACAGUCAUGAAAUACAACCUGGGAUUGGACCUGAGAACAGCUGCCUAUGUCAAUGCCAUUGAGAAAGUCUUCAAAGUGUACAAUGAAGCUGAUGUGACCUUCACAUAGAUGGAUCGUGGCUGACUUCCUCACUACCCUCUUCAUCUGUAGCUUCUGCAGACCUAUCACGAGUUUACAUGUAAGCACAGAAAUCUCUUUCUCUCCGACUCAUUAGUAACGGAUACCAUUCUCAACAAGUCAAUCCAAAUCAACCCCUUAAGAAGAAAGAAAUUAAGGUUAGGGGAUCAUGUACAAGCUGAGUGUGAAAGUAGACAUCACCUACACCAGAGAGCCAUUUUGGUAUUUUGCCUUUAAAUAAAAAGUCUCCUCCAUCUGG